rnacentral:rRNA from 1 species
ACUACGGGUGGCUGCAGUGAGGAAUAUUGGUCAAUGGGCGGAAGCCUGAACCAGCCAAGUAGCGUGCAGGAUGACGGCCCUACGGGUUGUAAACUGCUUUUAUACGGGAAUAACGCGCCUUACGUGUAGGGCUUUGCAUGUACCGUAUGAAUAAGGACCGGCUAAUUCCGGGCCAGCAGCCGCGGUAAUACGGAAGGUCCGGGCGUUAUCCGGAUUUAUUGGGUUUAAAGGGAGCGUAGGCCGCAUGUCAAGCGUGCUGUGAAAUGUCCGGGCUCAACCCGGGCCUUGCAGCGCGAACUGGCGUGCUUGAGUCCGCGGAAAGCAGGCGGAAUUCGUCGUGUAGCGGUGAAAUGCUUAGAUAUGACGAAGAACCCCGAUUGCGAAGGCAGCUUGCUGCAGCGGAACUGACGCUGAUGCUCGAAAGCGCGGGUAUCGAACAGGAUUAGAUACCCCGGUAGUC